UACGUAGGUGGCAAGCGUUGUCCGGAUUUACUGGGCGUAAAGAGCGCGCAGGCGGUCGCUCAAGUCGCGUGUGAAAGCCCCCGGCUCAACUGGGGAGGGUCACGCGAUACUGAUCGACUCGAAGGCAGGAGAGGGAAGUGGAAUUCCCGGUGUAGUGGUGAAAUGCGUAGAUAUCGGGAGGAACACCUGUGGCGAAAGCGGCUCACUGGACCACAACUGACGCUGAGGCGCGAAAGCUAGGGGAACAAACAGG
rnacentral:rRNA from 1 species